rnacentral:rRNA from 1 species
AGGCUAAUACGUGAACGUAAAACUCGGUCGACUGGGCAACCGGAAGGUCGAGGGUCGUGUGACGCUUUAUUGCAACGCUCGACAUGAAUGGGUGCACGAUCAAACCACCAUACCAAACGGAUUAGUCGGGAAACCCUAACGGGUGAAACGGCUAGCUCGGGUGGGUCUUGCUGUGUGCUUCUGACCUAUCAACUAGAUGGCAGCGUAAAGGACAUGCUAUGGUGACAACGGUAUC